GAUAAACGCUGGCGGCGCACAUAAGACAUGCAAGUCGAACGGAAGUCGUUAUAAAAAGGAUUGAGGAUUUAUCUGAUUGAGAUUUUAUAACAAUGGCUUUAGUGGCGGACUGGUGAGUAACGCGUGAGCAACCUGCCUACUAGAGGGGAAUAACAGUGAGAAAUCAUUGCUAAUACCGCAUAUGCCAUGAACAUCACAUGAUGAAAGUGGGAAAAGAGUAAUCUGCUAGUAGAUGGGCUCGCGUCUGAUUAGAUAGUUGGUGGGGUAACGGCCUACCAAGUCGACGAUCAGUAGCCGGACUGAGAGGUUGAACGGCCACAUUGGGACUGAGAUACGGCCCAGACUCCUACGGGAGGCAGCAGUCGGGAAUAUUGCGCAAUGGAGGAAACUCUGACGCAGUGACGCCGCGUAUAGGAAGAAGGUUUUCGGAUUGUAAACUAUUAGUCGUUAGGGAAGAUACAAGACAGUACCUAAGGAGGAAGCUCCGG
rnacentral:rRNA from 1 species